GAUGAACGCUAGCGGCAGGCCUAAUACAUGCAAGACGAACGGUAAGUUGAGUAGCAAUACUUAGCCAAGAGUGUCGUACGGGUGCGUAACACGUAUGCAACCUACCCUAUACAGGAGGAUAGCCUAGGGAAACCUGGAUUAAACCCUUCAUAGUAUUAUUGGAUGGCAUCAUUUGAUAAUUAAAACUGAGGUGGUAUAGGAUGGGCAUGCGUCUGAUUAGUUAGUUGGCGGGGUAAUGGCCCACCAAGACGAUGAUCAGUAGGGGUUCUGAGAGGAAGAUCCCCCACACUGGCACUGAGAUACGGGCCAGACUCCCUACGGGAGGCAGCAGUAGGGAAUAUUGGUCAAUGGAUGCAAGUCU
rnacentral:rRNA from 1 species